rnacentral:pre_miRNA from 1 species
CUUAACCUGCAAUACUCAAACUAUGGAGACACUUUUUAUUCCAGGGAAGAAGUGUCACCAAGUUUUGAGAAUUGCAGAUUGAG